GUCUUGAUAGCUCAGUGGCAGAGCGGGCGACUCCAGUGAUGGUACCAUCGUCAGGUCGGGCGUUCAAUCCGCUCUCGGGACU